GCAAGUCAACUUGACUGAAGGAGCAAUCUGACAGUAGAGUGGCGCAAGGGGUGCGUAACGCGUAAGUAACUUGCCCAAGUAAGGAAUAACGUCGAGAAAUCGGCGCUAAUACCUCAUAAUGCAGCGGAUCCGCAUGGAUAUGUUGUUAAAGGUUUACCGCCUUGGGAUAGGCUUGCGUCUGAUUAGUUAGUUGGUGUGGUAACGGCACACCAAGGCUACGAUCAGUAACUGGUCUGAGAGGAUGAUCAGUCACACUGGAACUGAGACACGGUCCAGACUCCUACGGGAGGCAGCAGUGAGGAAUAUUGGGCAAUGCUCGAAAGAGUGACCCAGCAACGCCGCGUGGAGGAUGAAGGUAUUCUAUAUCGUAAACUCCUGUGAGAGCAGACGAAAGACAGAUUAUUAAUCUGGAUGACUGUAUGCUCAGAGGAAGCCCCGGCUAACUACGUG
rnacentral:rRNA from 1 species